rfam:Babesia equi strain WA chromosome 1, complete sequence.
GGGCUUGUGGCGCAAUGGUAGCGCGUCCGACUCCAGAUCGGAAGGUUGGGGGUUCAAGUCCCUUCGGGCUCA